AUGCAUAUUCCAGGAUCCUUCGAACCUUAUGUGCAUGUAGCCAAUCUCCGAUGGAACGUCAUGUGCAACAGUGCAAGCAGAAACACAUUCAAAAGGAAAUUUGUAUUCUUCGUAGCCUCCAUGAGUACACCAAGCACGCGUCUUCGUAACUUCCAGCUGCCCUUUAAUCCCGUUGCAUCCCAAGCACAAGCCACGAAGAUCUUGCUUGCACCGUACAUCAAGCAGAUCAUGCGGCCGGUCACCGAGGUCGAGUCCCUUCGCGGCAACCACGUCAACAUCAUAGACAUGCUCAUCAAGGGCAGGGACUACUUCGAGAUCGACCACUCUAUAGUGGAGAGCUUCAGAGCCCAUGACAGAAUGAGCAUCAUUUCUAGAGUGUACCCGAGAAAAGCCGUCGGCAACAAGGCGCGUAUCUACGUGUUCGAUCACGACAGAAAGAUAGAGCAAUAUAAUCCUAUGGAGGAAUCAAUGUCUGACCGAUCUAUGAUAUUGGGGUCACGAGAAGAUAGGGCAGUAUAUGCAACAUGUGCGUACUACCUCUUCUUCUUCAUCUACAAAAGUAAAUUGCACGUGCUUUGCACAUCAACUAUCAUACAUAAACAUAUAUAA
rnacentral:rRNA from 1 species